CCUAUUGAAUGGAGAAAGUGAGGAAGAAGAAGAAGAAGCAAACUUUACACUUCUCCAACGGAAAUAUUCUGUGAGGAACAGGUUAGGUUUGUUUUUGUUCUGCUAAGUUUAGGACGGUUCCCUCCUAAUUUUACUUUUUGAUAUGUACACUGGGAAGAACGUAAAAAUGGUAGAUUAUAGUGGUGUAUUCGAAACGAAAAAUAAAUAACUUGUUUCAAACAUGGCAUUGUACUAAUGUGCAAGAUCACAACUACCCACUGGACAAAAUAUUCUUGAGGUUAUCAACUGAGCCCAUUCGUCGGUUUAAAUUUGAAAUGGUUGAAUGCUAGUUAUAAACAUCAAUGUUGGCAAGAGCAAUGUGGAGAAAUGUAAGUAUUAUGAUUAAUACUUAUGAAUUAUUUGUUUGCCAGUGAGUAAAGGAUAAUGGACCACCUUCGUUGGGUAUGCUUUUAAUAUAAUUUCAGUUUUGGGAGUCCCACUCUAAUAUAUGAAUUCGAAAAGUAAGCAACUGAUGAUGGGACUUAUGAAUGGUUAUACAUUUAAAAAAUUUGAUUUUUAUCCAUUUUAGCUGAAGGAAGAAAUGGAUUACAAUCUGUAAUAAUUCUGCUAGUAUUAAAUCCAAUAAAACUGAAUUUGCUACUCGAUACUAAACGAAUAACAAGUUCAAGGAUUCACGAAGAUAGAAUCAUACAAUUAUUGAGCGACUUUUGAUGUUUGCUGAGAAAAUUAUAUUUUUCUUUGAUACACCUUCAUAAUGUUCCCUUUUGAUUCUUAUUAUUUUCUCGAUACAAUUUUGAGGCAAGUUCCUAUUCUGUACUGUGGAGUAUGAAUAGUCUGAGUCCAUCUCAAAUGCAAAGCAUUAAUGCAGGAAAAUAUACUUCGAAAAAUAGCUUAGGUAAAUUGUUAAAAAAAUUCAGACAUGACAAUAGUAUUGAAGCAGCAACCAUUACACUUGAAAUUCUUUUAUUGUUUUUACAAAUCUUAAUAGAUAUCUGAUGGGUAUAUUGGUAGGUAGUGAUAAAUCAUACUAUUUUCUAGAUUUAUUCUUUGGCACUUGAUUUUGGGUUUCUAUUCUAAAACCAUCAUCAGGCUGAAGAAUACAUAUCUCAUUAUGUAAGGUUUUUUUUAUAAAUGUGUGUGAACUGAUCUUCUCAAUAAGAGUAAUUUUUACUCACCGUAAAUAGAGGUAGUUUACCAUAUUUAAUGUCUAUUAUGUGUAUUCCUCAUUUUUAAAAAAUUCUUUUGUUCUCUAUUAAUGUUCAGGUGGAGAUGUCAAUUUUAUUUCUUAAGUGGAAAUUAGUUUUUUGAAAGUCAGUUAGGGUUGUCAGAUGUCAUUUGUCCAACAUCAUGGGAUGUAGUCAAGAAAAACCAAUAUCAAUAAAAACAUACUAUGGGAGCUGUCAUUACCAAAAUAUGAUGGGUAUAUUUAUCCACCUAGCUACUAUUCUUGAAAUCCUGUUAAGGAAAUUGGCAAUUAUUGUUUUGUCAACAUUUUUUACAUCAGGUAUAUUUGUUGGGAAAAGUAGACACUAUUUGAUAAUUUUAUAUACUUUAGUUAGUUUACAUAAUAAUGAAAACCUUUUUUUCAAAGAACAUUUUCCAACAUAAAAAUAUUGUUGGGGAAGUAUAUUACAAGACUCAAGUAACAAAAUGCAUACAAUAGUAUGAGGAUCGUUUGGAUAUAGGUAUCCAAAUUGAACAGUUGCAAAGUAGUUUGGUGAAAUAUGUCUCCGGUGUAAUCUUUGCAAGAGUUAGAUCCUGAAAUAUGCGUUCAUUUCAAUAACCUUAUAAUUCGUGAGCUCAAUACUACAAUUGGGUAACUUGAAAUAAGCAAUAUUUCAGGAGGAGCGUUUGAAGAUUCUGAAGGAAAAAAAAAGGGUUGUUAUAUAAAUUUCAGCUUUGUGUUAGGAUAUGUUGUGAAGAAUUAUUUGAAAUGAACUUUGGUAGUUGGAUCCACAUAAAAUCUUUUUGCUUUCUCAGAUUUUUUUCAUUUUGAACGAGAUAUCUAGUUUUAGUAAGCAAAAUGUAGAUUUGGAAUUGAGAUAUCAAGUUUCGAAACUAUAAGAAAGGAUGAAUAAGAAUUUCAUUUUUAUUG